rnacentral:rRNA from 1 species
UACGGGGGGGGCAAGCGUUGUUCGGAAUUACUGGGCGUAAAGGGUUUGUAGGUGGCUCGCUAAGUCAGACGUGAAAUCCCUCAGCUUAACUGGGGAACUGCGUCUGAGACUGGCAAGCUUGAGUGCAGGAGAGGAACGCGGAAUUCCAGGUGUAGCGGUGAAAUGCGUAGAUAUCAGGAGGAACACCGGUGGCGAAGGCGGGUCUCUGGGCCGAUACUGACGCUGAGGAGCGAAAGCGUGGGGAGCGAACAGG